UUAUUCCCAGAUCUAUCAAACAUUCAAACAUGAUGUGCCACGGAUCCGGCAGCCGGAUGAGAGGCAAGGCAGCACUGAUCUUACUCCUCGCCAUCCUUGUAUGCCAUGCGUUCUCCGCACACGCCAUCCGUCAGCCAGACGACUGGCACGACAUACUGCGCAAGGAGUGUAAGCUGAGCGUGUGCCAUGAAAUCGGAGGACACAAGAGUUGCUUCUGCUGCUUGGCGACGCCCGACAGUCCUUGUUGGUUCAAGGAGGACGAGUGCAAGAAGGUCUGCUCGCAGGUGCAGCUGCCACCAUCCUCCUCUGCAGGCACCAAUCAAAUAGUGUUGUGAGAUCUUUGCAACCAUGCCAAUAAGAGACCACGCCGUGCUUUUGUUUUCAAAAUUAAUCGAAUGGGUCGUCUAAUGCUGUAUCUCCUUUAAAAAAAUUGUGUAAGGAAUGGAGUCAAGAAAUCCAGCUUUUCCCUGAUUUUUA